GGCAUUAUCUCUCUGCAUGUCAUUAUGCAUUGGGCCAGCUUUUGCUUAUUUUCUCUCACCGGCACAAAAUGCGAUUGCUAGGACUCUUCAAAUGAACAACCUCUAUUUUAAGAGAAAAAACUAUUUUGCAGGACUCGUGAAAUGCACAAAUAUUUCCAGAAUUGCAUAAAACUUGGUCCUUCACACACACAGAUCAGCUCCUGUCUGACAGCUGGCUGGUCCGCAGAGAGCCAGGGACUCUGAUCAGCAUCAGCCCUAUCACAAUACCACACUGGGGACACAGUGGAGGAAGUGGAGAAUAAAAGAAUUGAGAAAUGUCAGGUAAUUGACCAACACCGGCCAAGUAGCAGGUUGCAGAGAGUUACAGCACCUGCUGCUGAAGAACAAACCUCAAAGACAACACUCUAUGCUGCUUUUUUUGUUAAACCUGUGUUCAGCCAUUGUCUACCCCCCACCCACCCCCUUUCCUGAGCUUCAACUCUCCUCCUCCUCCCUCUCUCUCACUCCCUCUCUUUCUCUCAAACACACACACCACCUCUCUCUAACCCUCUCUCCCUCUCUCACUGUGGCUCAAGAUGAAUCUGCCAGCAUGUGCCCAUGCUCUUCAUCACUGUCAGGUGCCCCAUGGUGGUCCUCCUCCUCUUUCUCAAACUGGGCACCAACCGCUGGCUAGAAUUAUUCCUCACCUCCAAAACUCUCCCCACUGUUUCUAAAUAAAUGUGGCUGUAGUAACCGAGGAGUGUUGCUCAUCCAUCUUUACCAUGUUGUGUGUGGAGUGUGCAGUGUUUACUGAACGAGACAGAGACCCUAAUAAGCCACACAGUAAGUGUAAAGACACAAAGUAAAGAAUGCAGCACAAAGUAUCAGAUUUUUGGCAUUGGCUUAGAGUACACAAUUGUUCCACAUGACAAUUUAAAGAAAUGAGAUUUAUUUAUUAGUGCGAGCAGCCGAAUUUGCAUUGCGAUCCUUUAAAAAACGAUACAGAGACAUCCACAGUGGCUGUCAGGUUCGUAGCAGCUCAUUAGCAGAUAUUUGACCAGCUAUAUUAAACUCAUCGAAAGGGUUUAUUGAUAGAUAAGAGAUUGUUUUUGUUACAUUUGACACGAGAAUAACUGCUAAUGUUAAAUUUGUAAUUAAGGCACAAAACAUAGCUGCACCAUCUGUUGUCAGAAUUUGUAAGUGUCAGAAUGCCCGAUAAAGAUGCAACACUGUGCCCCAGCUUAAUGUUUAAGUAGAAGACACCUACACAUGAUGUAUCAUGGUGCAUGCAGCUGUUGAACAAGGUGUGCAGCGAUUUCUUUCUUCUGUGCCGAUGAUCAGCAGACAAUUAAAGCGGAAGCAUUAAUUUGUUUUUCUUUGAGGUAAUUAAGCUCUUCCACUUGAGUGGUAUUGUCUUUAUUGUCUCCAGCUUCACGC